UACGGAGGGUGCAAGCGUUAUCCGGAUUUACUGGGUUUAAAAGGGUGCGUAGGCGGGUAGGUAAGUCAGUGGUGAAAUCUCCGAGCUUAACUCGGAAACUGCCUUUGAUACUAUUUAUCUUGAAUAUUGUGGAGGUAAGCGGAAUAUGUCAUGUAGCGGUGAAAUGCUUAGAUAUGACAUAGAACACCUAUUGCGAAGGCAGCUUACUACGCAUAUAUUGACGCUGAGGCACGAAAGCGUGGGGAUCAAACAGG
rnacentral:rRNA from 1 species